AUUUAAAUAGCUUAUAUAGAGCAUAAUAUUGAAGCUAUUAAGGAAAUAAUUUUUAUUUUUAAAUA
rnacentral:tRNA from 1 species